ACCUAACCUCUGACCAUGUUGAGGGAAUGUUGUCCAAGGGCAAAGUUUGAAGAAGGUAUCCAGUCAACAAGCGGUUGGCUCGGUAGCUAACCUCUGCGUUCGCUCUGUGAACUAAAGAGUUAGCUCCGGCGAGCUGGCGGCUCGGCCUGUCCGCUGCCCAGCUGUUCGUUACCGGAACACGGGUGUGCAGGCCGUAGUAACUUCCUUCAGACUCGGCUUGUAGAAACAGCUUCUCUGCCGGGGAUCUCUCUGCGACACAGUUUGCUUCUGUGGGGCUUCAGAGAGAAAGCAUUUCCUGAAUGGAAAGCCCACCCGAGUAUCCCAACCCUGUAGUUGCUCUACAAAUGAUGAACCAGACUAGGGAGCAGCUAGGAGCCAGUCGAAAGCCACCCAAACAUCGUUCAUCUGAGCCACCAUACAGGAAACACCAAAGGCCACUCUGUGGGAUGUUUUCUCAAGGAGAUGCACCACUUGCUGUGAGAAAACCACAAACACUGAGAAAAAGCAAACAUAUUUUUCACCUGACUCUCUUCGUGUGUAUGCCUAAAAUCUGUGCCCUUAUUA